UACGUAGGUGACAAGCGUUGUCCGGAUUUACUGGGCGUAAAGAGCGCGCAGGCGGUCGAUCAAGUCGAGUGUGAAAGCCCCCGGCUCAACUGGGGAGGGUCAUUCGAUACUGAUCGACUCGAAGGCAGGAGAGGGUAGUGGAAUUCCCCGGUGGUAGUGGUGAAAUGCGUAGAUAUCGGGAGGAACACCAGUGGCGAAGGCGACUACCUGGCCUGUUCUUGACGCUGAGGCGCGAAAGCUAGGGGAGCAAACGGG
rnacentral:rRNA from 1 species